AAGAAAAAGCUGCGUUUAAUUAAGAACCAUUUCCCUGGAAAGCAACGUAGUAGAGACUUUUAAGAGAAAUCGUAUAUAUCCUGCUCACUUUUUUUUUUUUUUUUAAUUUUCCCACUGUACAGCAAGGAGGUCAGGUUAUCCUUACAUGUAUACAUUACAAUUACAUUUUUCCCCCACCUCCAUCUUAUUCCUUAAAGGCUUAAAAUCAUUUCCCUUAAAGCCUCAGGGAGCCUCUUUCAUGUGCCAAGGGCUGUGCUGGGAAUUUAUACAUAUCCUCCUAACUGGAUUAUCACAAGGAUCCUAUGACUUAGCAUUAUGAAUGUACCCAUUUUACAGAUGACAAAACAGAGGCUAAAAAAAGAUGGAGUGACAGGAAUAAUCUCAAAGCUGAGUAUUCUUCCCCCACUCCUACCGUACAAGGGUUUGAGAAUACAAUCUCUGCAGCCCAAUUUAUAUACACAUAUUGACCAACAGAACAAUCUAUAAGAAAACCUACAUCGCUGUACACAGGGGAGAAGAAUUAGGAAAUUGUUUAAAUAUAUCUCUACUCAAUGGCAUGUCAGAUAAAUUUUGUUGCAUAACUGGAAAUACUCAACCUACUCAAAGGUGUUUAUCAAAUUUUUGUCAACUCCACCAAUUUUAUCUGCCCCUUCUCUCAUCAUCCUGAGUUGAUGCUUUUGCCUUUGGCCUCUUUGCAUCAGUAUCAGAUUAUUUAUAUAGAGUCUGAGGUGCUAACACAGGGAUUUUUCUCUAUUAGUACAGCCAUGACUAGGCCUCCCUCAUGGGCAGGAAAACUGCAUUAUGAAGAUCAAGAUCUUUUAAUACAGAAAGUCUCCUGGCUACUACAGACAAUCACAAAGGUUGUGGAUCAUGUGGAUGAAUGGGUUUGGCAUUUUUGAACCCUUAAAAUUAUUUGCUAGGUGUAAUUGAUGUUUGCUAGAGGGAAACUAGGAAAGAGAGGGGAAUAGGAAAGGGAGAAGGACAAGCAACCAUGUCAACAGCUCGUUUGGGGAAAAGAUUUAAAAAUAAUCCAAUUUGGCUAUCAGCAAAACAUAUCCAAAUAAAUGGACCCAGAAAUUUAACUUUCUGCAAUGACUUCCUUACUUUCAGGAAGGACCUAUUCUCACUGAUCAGCUGGAUACUGGGAUAAAAUGUGUGUUUUGUCUAAGAUUUGACUGAUCUGAGAGCUCAAUCAUGUUUAGACUUUAUAUCUGCUAAACUGCUCUUCUGGAGCUGCUUUAAGAGAAGUGGCAAACAUACUGCAACUUUUCCAUCUCUCAGCGAUUAGGGCUUAGUCCCACCUGGACAAGCUCCUGUCCCUUCUCUCCUCUUCAUUACUGCUGAGACCAGAGCAAGCUGCCCUCGGCCCAGGAGCUGUGAUGGAGUACGUUCCCCAGCUUCGAUCACCCUCUGAUCACCCCAGAAGAGGCUGUUGCACACGCCUGAGGGCAAGGCUUCCUGGACCAUGGACACUGUUCCUUGUCACUAAUGGAGACCCCUAUGUGGCUUCUACAUGCAGGUGCCAAGUGUGCAAGCUUUCUUUCUCAGCAUCAGACAUGGCUAAUCUGCCCUGGUGCUGGAAUGACAGUGUUGUCAGAGAAACACUGAACUGAGCUAGGGCUUGAAAGAUACCAAGGUCCACGUGAUGGGACCUGAGCAAGUCUACACGCUCACACCCUUGUGCACUUGAAAUUGGCAUAACAUUGCAAAUCAACUAUACCUUAAUUAAAAAAAGUUCUCUUUCCUCAUUUUUUGGUGUGAUUUUAAACAAAUAAGUACAAUUUGGUACAAUUAACAGCUCACAGCAACUCCCCUUCUCUUUUAUUUUAGAAAAGCUUUUUUUUUUUUCUUAUCAGGAAUCUUCCUUCUGAUCUUGCUAGAUUUCAACAAGAUAUAUUCUGCUCAGCAAACUCCAUGGCCACCAUUCUUUGGGAGACUUAAAAAUUUUGGUCAAAAAAUAUUUUUUUUUCUUUUCUUUUUAAGGCUGUACCCACAGCAUACAGAUGUUCCCAGGCUAGGGAUCAAAUCAGAGCUACAGCUGUUGGCCUACAGCUGCAUUACAGUCACAGUAAUGCAGGAUCUGAGCCAUAUAUUCAACCCACAGCUCAUGGCAAAGCUGGAUCCCCGCCUGACCCACUGAGUAAGUCCAGGGAUCGAACCGUAUCUCGUGGAUACUAGUCAGAUUCAUUUCCACUGCACCACAAAGGGAACUCCUCAAAAAACAUCUUCUGCUUUGAGUCUAUGCUAAUCUCCAAAGCAGCACAAAGAAGCUUGAGUCUUAUGACUUACACAUUCCCAGGGAGAAAUGGCCUGACAUCCUCCUAGUUUCUUACUGCUGUAUGCUACACACAGUAGGAUCUCACCGACACACAGUAAAUUAAUGCCAAACAGAUUAAAAAAAAAGAGCAAUGAGAACUUCUUUACAAUAAUCCAGGUCAAGCUAAUAAAAGAACUCUAACAGGUGAUGUAAUGUGGCGUGUAUGUGACUACAAGACAUCCUAUUACAUGGUGACCAGGAAAUGCAGUUCUUAUCAAACACAGACCCAAGAAACCCCUGAUGUUAGGAGGUGUUUCAUUAGACUGAAAUUAGACAUGGUUUCCAGUUUCUUUGAAAAAAAUAAACAAAAAAGGACCCGUUCCUUGGAAACUACAGACAAAAUAUGUCAUUACUCAGACCUCAAUUUGCUUUUGGAGAAUCAUGUUACAAAACCAUCCUUCUGCCCCACAAACCCUUAUUUGCCAAGGUCAGCCCCAUACUAGGCC
rnacentral:lncRNA from 1 species